rnacentral:rRNA from 1 species
GAGUUUGAUUAUGGCUCAGGACAAACGCUGGCGGCGUGCAUAACACAUGCAAGUCGAACGAAAUCUACAUGAUUUAGUGGCGAACGGGUGAGUAACACGUGAGAAACCUGCCUUACACAGAGGGAUAGCCGUUGGAAACGACGAUUAAUACCUCAUGACACCGUGACAUCGCAUGAUGAUGCGGUCAAAGAUUUAUCGGUGUAAGAUGGUCUCGCGCCUGAUUAGCUGGUUGGUGGGGUAACGGCCUACCAAGGCGACGAUCAGUAGCCGAUCUGAGAGGGUGGACGGCCACAUUGGGACUGAGACACGGCCCAAACUCCUACGGGAGGCAGCAGUGGGGAAUUUUGCACAAUGGGGGAAACCCUGAUGCAGCGACGCCGCGUGAACGAAGAAGGCCUUCGGGUUGUAAAGUUCUGUUCCUUGGUGAAGAUAAUGACAUNAACCAAGAAGAAGCCCCGG